rfam:Tetrapisispora blattae CBS 6284 chromosome 5, complete genome
CUCUCGGUAGCCAAGUUGGUUUAAGGCGCAAGACUGUAAUUUGAAAUAAAAAGGAAAUCUUGAGAUCGGGCGUUCGACUCGCCCCCGGGAGA